rnacentral:rRNA from 1 species
GAUGAACGCUAGCUACAGGCUUAACACAUGCAAGUCGAGGGGCAGCGGGAUUGAAGCUUGCUUCAAUUGCCGGCGACCGGCGCACGGGUGAGUAACGCGUAUCCAACCUUCCGUACACUCAGGGAUAGCCUUUCGAAAGAAAGAUUAAUACCUGAUGGUAUGAUGAGAUUGCAUGAUAUCAUCAUUAAAGAUUUAUCGGUGUACGAUGGGGAUGCGUUCCAUUAGGUAGUAGGCGGGGUAACGGCCCACCUAGCCAACGAUGGAUAGGGGUUCUGAGAGGAAGGACCCCCACAUUGGAACUGAGACACGGUCCAAACUCCUACGGGAGGCAGCAGUGAGUAAUAUUGGUCAAUGGACGAGAGUCUGAACCAGCCAAGUAGCGUGAAGGAUGAUGGGCCUACGGAUUGUAAACUUCUUUUAUAAGGGAAUAAACCCUCCCACGUGUGGGAGCUUGUAUGAACCAUAUGAAGAAGCAUCGGCAAACUCCGU